AUCCGUUUUGACGAGCAAAGUGAAUAUUCGGCGCGCCGUUUCGCGGCAGCUUAACGCCAAAUAUCGAGAGGACGGAACAAGCACAAUGGGUUCGCGCCUUCCUAAUCCCACGGAAUCUGGCCAUAUGUAAGGAUUACGUUGCUCCGACUCAACAUGGUCGCGUUGUAGCCGUUGCUAAAGCCGCGGACCGGCCAUUAGCUCGGUGACGCGAGCCGAGCUUAGAGACGCUAUCACCGAUGGCUUACCUCCCCCUUUCUUUCCAUCUUACAACACCACCGCUCCCCGAAAGAUGUAACGAGCCGAUAGUUAUCUUCAUCGCGCUUCGAACUAUAUACACCGGAUCCGAGAGAGAGAGGAUAUCGUUCCGAGUAAUGGCAAAUUCGGUCCACGAUUUCGCCUUCCUUGCGAAUCUUUCUCUUCUUCCUUCCACACGGCUUUUAAAUACUCGUUCCAAUAAUAAUCGAGUAAAAUCACGUCCCCCUCUUUUUCAUCGAGAUGUAUAGAUCCGUUUGAAAAAAGUCGAUUCGAGAAAAAGGAAGAAGAGGUAAAAUUGGCGAUAUUAAGAGAGUCGGGUUUGAUUUUCUUCGGGCGCAUUUCUUCGGUAGACCCGUAGCAUUUCUCGUCCGUGUUCGAGGUCGCGGCGUUGAGCGUUACGUGUCUGCGGAAGACAGGAUCGGGCAAUUUAUCAAUCCACGGAGCGGGAGAAACGACUGCUGGCCAGGCGGGUAGGUAAUUUAACAAGAUUGAUGCGAAGCCGACAUGCCACAGUUUCGCAGCUCGCGAGAAGGGGCCGGUGUCGGCGAUGUCGGCGGUGACGUCGGAGGAUUCCGGGAGAGGAUGAGGGAGAGGAGAGAGGUAAAACUAGACGCGUGAGCGACUGGUUAUUAGGGGCGCGGAACGUUGAAACAAUGCCGCGAGUGACGGAGCCGGUUGCCAACGUCGCCUUCCACCGCUUUCGCCACCAAAAUCCUCUUCUCCCGGUUUAUCGAUCCAACUCGUUCGAACGAAUUUCGAAUCGUUCGAGAAAUUUGUCGUCCUUCGGUAUCUCUGCGAGUCCAUUCGAAAAGUCAAAGUUUGGGAAAGAAGGAGCGGAUAGAGGCAGCGGCUACGUUUUAAACGUAUUCGAGGGGGGAGGGGGAGGGGAAAUUGGCCGCGAUAUCGGCGCCAAUUUAUCGCCGUGGGAUAGUGGAAAGUUGCGGCGAUGGCAUCCGCGGAUGGCUCCGCAAACGCGCCAGUUGUCGUCGCCACGGUAACGCAGAACCACUCGCGACCGCCAACAUUUGAAUAAUUCGGCCGUUUGCAAGCCAACUUACAACGCCAUGCGCAUACACCCGGAUCAUGGCCGCUACUUACCGCUCCCCGCACUUUUCCAACCCGUUCUCGCGUCCCGUGAAACUGCACGUGUUUUCGAAACGCUUCUUUCCACCGUCCGCUUUACGAUCAUAUACGCUCGAAAGACCAAAUCGACCAGAAACAGGAUCGAUCGCUCCCCCAAACUUCCUUCUGCGUUAUAUUUUUCAACCAUUUUUCGUAUCCCUCGACAACGUUCGUUCCUGUCUAUCGACGAUUAGAUAUUCGGUAAUUCACGAUUCACGUUGGAAAUGCGGAAGAGUAAAUCCUCUCUUCCGUCCACGCGCGUGUGUCUGGAAGGAAAAAAGUGAUAUUAUUUUGGAAGUGGAAAAAAUGGUUAGAGAAGGUUAAAUAGAGCGGGUCCAAAAGUAUUUAUCUUAUGUAAAUGAUGCGCAUUGGCUCGAUUAUUAAACGGGGGAUAAAGUUUAAGUCCGUUCGUAGCUGGCACAGUUUUGUCAGCACGAAUUUACAUUCGGAUGGCGCUAUCUAAUCCCCGGUAAGUUUAAAAAAUUUACGACUUUCGGUAAAUCAUGGCUGCUUUACCCCGGCAACCGAACGGUGCCGUGCGUCUGAAUUGUUUAUGGUUCCGCCAUAAAACAAUGAUACGAGAGAUUAUAAGUCAACGAGUGGCAAAACUUCUUCUAUCGUCUCGUUCUCGAAAUUACGAUACCUUCCCUUACCAUCCGUUCUUCCAUUACUAAUAAUUAAGAGAUUUAACCCUUUCCUAACUUUUUCCAUCUCUUCAAUUUUAAUAAUCGCGCAUUAAAUACGCGCGGGAUCGAUAACAGAUAUCGUCGCAAAGUUCACACGCGUAUAAAUGAUAGCUGUCCAUAUUCGAGGCGUAUUCAAUUUCCUGCGUCGCAUCCGAUAUUAUUACGUGGAACACGAUGAACGGGAUUUUCGAUUUUUUCCCAAAGAAACGAACCAUUUCGCGCCUCGUUCUUCCCUCCAUUUUUCCCGCCAAACGAAGCGAAGGAUAAAAGGGUAUAUAUAUAUAUAAAUAUAUAUGUAUAAGCGAGAAUAUAGGCGAGUCGAGUCGAUUUAAAGUAGAGUCAGGCCGGGUUGUUCGAGUUGAACGUUCUUUCCUCUCCGAGCGUUGUUACGCCACUGAGUCGUAAUUUAACCGGAGCAUUUAUGGCAUUGUUGUGAAGCAGUGCUUGGCGUCGUCUUAUAAAACCAAUUUCGCGGGUAUUAUGCAAGCUGUCACUCCCAUAGGUGAGUUAUGGCAAACGUAGCCUACAGCACAAACACGUAUUACCAGUGUGCCAGAGUUUUUUUUUUCUUUUUUUUUUUUUCUUUUUAAUAUUUUACAACAAUGCUCGUUACGACGUGAAACGAAUAGCUCUUGUUUACGUCGUAUCGUAUGUACGCGAUCAAUUUAUUUUUGCUAAAUUUUCAUCAACGGUUUACGUUUACUCCCCGUCGUAUUUCAUUUCGCAACCAUUUACUUUCCACCAACUUUCCCUCGUUUCGAUAUUUUUUCCUCCUUCUCUUCUUCUGUUUAUCCGUCUAAAAUUCGUUGGGGAAAAAUACGCGUUUUUAGUAAUCGACGAGGGAAUUAUACUCUACGCCGCUGAAUAUCUUUUAUCUUUUAACGCGUUAUACGGCGUCACGAAUGGAUUCACAAAAUGCGUGUAAUAUAGGAUGGGAGUAGUGGUGGUAAUAAUAGCAGUGAUGGCGUUUCCCGGACAUCUAUCGACGAACAAUAAAGCAGCGUGUACAUACGUGUGCCGGGAGUGGAAGGAAAACUAUCCGAACGUCGCGUUCAACUCCAUUGGAAUAUACGGCGCUAUAUCCGGAAUUUCGUUCCAGACCGUUAAGACACUAGAUUCCACUUUAUCGGAACCGUAAUGGUUAUAUAGCUGUUAAAGUUGCCCCUCGUACAACUUUUCCAAUCUUAUCUCCGCGUAUGGCUUCUUCCUCCCUCCCUGUCCUUCCCCCUCUCUUUCCCCCCCGUCCCGGGGAAAAGCGGAAAGGAUUUAGUUAAAUUGGACUGCGCGCGAGGAGUUGUCGGCGAGAUUUGUUCGGGCAUCGGCGGAGAGCGCUGACCGUUGUAAAAGCGCUCGGGACGGGAGGAGAAAUGAAGAGGCGACGGCGUCUUUCUCCUUUCUUUCUAUUUAGGGUUGCCAUCGGUGACCGGCUUGUCGAUACGUGCUCGACAUCCCUAUUCCAUUCCUAUCCCCACCGGUAAAAACUCGAAAUUGUACUCUCCUCCUUUUCCUUCUCCUUCUUCUUCGCGAUCGCUUUCCGAUUUCUUCAACUUUAUCCCCCCGUUUACCGUGCCACGUUAUCUCGACAUAGCCCUUUCUUAAAAAUCUCUCGAAACGUUUGGAAAUAAAAAAAGAGAUUCGGAUCAAUUCGAUUCUUGCGUUCCUACGUUUUUUGCGCAAUGACGCAACGGGGAGGGGAGAAAAUUUCGACCGAUAAAAGAUGUUGGAUGGUUCCUAGAAACUGAUAAACGUUGCCAAAUACUCUCCGGUCUAUGCCAAUAAUGUUGGCAAUAAUUUCACCGAGGCACCGAUUAAAACCAGUCGACGUAUCUAAUUGCCUGUCGCGCAAUCAUUCCGCAAUUUAUUUUCCGCACGCUGAAAACUCGCAGUCGCGAUACCCGAUAAUUUUUCACGCGUCAAGAACCCGGGCCCGUUAAUGUAAGGCAAAUUAGCGACGUGGAGUAACGUUUAUUCCGAGACAACGUGCAAUUUUAAACACGAUAUUAUAUAAAGGGGAGGGGAGAAGAGAGAGAGAAAAAACAUUAAGAAGUUACACAUAUAUCAAACGCGUAAAUUAUUUAAUAAAGGCUAAUGGUAGAAAUCAGCAGGUACUCGAGAUCGCGCGUGGCAAGCAAUUAAUUCCGUUCGAAGUAAACUUUAUCCUCCGUCGAACGAUCGCAACAUUUGUGUUUUCUUAUUAAACGCGAUAUUUCAUCAGAGGAUGGACGUGGUAUUAACAUUAGAUAGCCAUUAAUUUCCUCCACGUCACUCGCGAUUCAAACGUGAGAUAUCGUGCCGUUGAAUUGAUUACAAUUCGAAAUCUCGUUCCUGCAAUUCUCAUUUCUCUCCUAGAUUUCGUGAAAUUUUGCAAAAGAAGAAAUAAAAAAAACUCGCGAAAGAAUCGAUCUAUGCCGAGAGAAAUCCGCGUCGAUGGAAAAGACAGGCGUAAUGGGGCGAGAAUCACUUAACCCCCCGGUCGAUGGGAGGCGAGCUUGCGUUAUUCAAUUCGCGCUUAAGCCAAGGAUAAUAACAUCAGCCGUUGGGCAGGAGGCAGGAGGCAGGAGCGGUAGGCGGCAAAGUCAAGGGCUGACGUAGCGGUGAAGAUUUACGGGCACGGGCCGGGGCAUGCAUCCUGUAUGAAUGUCGGGGCAGCUUGUAAUAAUUCAACUCCGCGGCCACACCUCGGCCACUUCCCGUCUGCAGUCUGGCAGGGCACGACCACCGAGCGGACUGCUGCUGCUGCUGCUGCCGCUGCUGCGGAGAGGUUUCCGGUAACUGCGCGCUCCGCGUCUCUCUCUCUCUCUCUCCUUCCUUCGUUUCGCUCCGUCUCCACACCCACGCCCCCCAACCGAGAGCCACCCUUAUCCGAGAGAGCGAAGAGCUCUGAUAUAUCGGCCGCACACAUUGCACUGGAUGGAACGCAAUAUGUCCGCCGAGAAAGGCAAUAACCAUUAGGUCCCGAGAAAACUGCCCCAUUUCAAACGACACGAACGGUCGAAUAUCAGGAAAUUUAUAUCUGGUAGCCUUCGCUCUCUCUCUUUCUCUCUCUUCCCUCCUUCGUCCCAUUCGUCGAGGAGAGGGAGAGAGAAUACGCGUCGCGUUCGAGAAGAGGUUAUAAACGCGGAGGCAAAAGUUUUCUGCGUGGGACCUCGCAUAGGCGGGACGAAACCGGAUAUCGAAUAGAGCGGUGGUCACGCGCUCUUUACCGAUUUCCUCCCCCUUUUUUCCUUUCCUCGCCUCGCGCUUUAUCCUCCUCCUCCUCCUCCCUUCUCGCGAUAGGAAAUCUGGCGAGCCAGACGCGAUUUCGUUAUUUAUACGAUCGAUAAAAGAUAAACGGGCGAUAUAUAAACGCGGCGGAUUUAUGGCGGAAAGCCGGCGCGAGAGUGGUAGGCGUAGCUCGAUCAUCGCGUCGAUCGCGGCAGAGAUAUAUCGGCGGGGGAUAUACGAAACGUAAGAGGCUCUCGCUCGGUGGAAAUUUUCUAGGGACGAUUCUCGAAAACUCGGGGAAAUAACUCGGGGGUUACUGCUAAUCGGUAAAAGGAGAGCUCGAGGAUAUUAGAGAGCGGAGUAGUAUCCGCGGCACGUCGUAACGUGGAUCGAGCGCACGAAGGCGGCGGGUCUGGUGCAGCCAGAAAUUGCUUUUCCCCUAUAAGGCGCCAUUAUCACGCACCAUCUUGUUCGAAUGGCUUCGUAAAAUGCCAAACUGGGAACUCGGUAUUGCUGUGUCCAGCGCUGCGGUCAGCUUCGACCGUGGCAAAAACUCCUCUCCCUUCCCCUCCCCUCCCGCCGCAGUAACACGAUUGUGCGGCGAAAUUGUGGUCGCUCUUUCUCCACCUCUCUCCCUCCUCCUUUACAUCCUUCCCUUCCCUCCGACGCGAGGUAAGGAACCGGUGCUUUUCUUCCAGGGUGUUCGGGUGUAGUGGCGAGCGCGAAUACCGGGGGCACCGGUUGGAGCCGAGAUAGAGCGGAUAACUCGACGUAAUAUCACCGGGGAACUAUCUUACACAUGCCGGCCAAAACGUAACGGUACAACUUUUGCCAAAUGAUGCCAUUCGUUUAAUUUCUUGGAACGACCGAGCCGACGUUUCCCGCCCGAAAUAUUAAUAACGCGCCACGUCCACCGCCAAAAUUCUACGCCGAAAUUUUGUCACGCUUCUCUCCUCUUCUAGAUCUGUCUAGAAUUAGAGGACUCCGAUAUUACGACGAUGCAAAUUGACGAGAAUUCAGAAGAAACAACAGGUACGAAUAUUCUUCCGUAUCGCGGCAAUAUCGUCCACGAUCGGAACGAAAUCGAAAAACUUUCGAUCCUCGGAGGAGCUAUCGUGACAAACGUGGCCAAUAAACGCCGACUCGGUGGUAUCGAGCUAGAAACGCACCCUUGAGAUGCGCCCUAAGGUUGACGACUUAAAAAGACCAUAAUAUCCCACCCUCUCUCUCUCUCUCCUUUUAUCGUUCGACGCGAUGAAAGAAUCGACGAAAGGAAAAGGAAGAAAUUAAAAACGUUAAAACGAGAACGACGACAGGGUCUAAAAAUGAUUAACCACCGUACGUUACACGCUACUAAACUAGACCGAUGCCGAUGGGGUGCGUGGCUCGAGAGACGGAGGUGCUCAGCGUGAGUAUUGAGACGUUCAUUAGCGGCGGGUACGCUCUCAGCGUGAGUCAAUAGGGACGAUGGCGUUACGCGUCAGAGAGAGAGAGAGAGAGGCGGCAUUGAUAGUUGAUGAAAGGUUGUCCCCCGUGGUGGCUUUAUACGUACAGAUAGAUGUACUAUACGAGCAUACCCGUGACCCGUGUCAGCCCUCUCCCUCCUCUGAAUUAUGCUCGCGGCAUGCGGUUCGAUCGAACGCACGCACACACCAAUAUCCUCUCCUCUCCUCUCCUUCUUUUUAAGAAAAGAAUAUAUAUCCUUCGUUUCCUUAUCGCCGGGAAGAGGGUCUCGAGAGCCGCGACACGUCGUCGAUUCGUCUCUUAUCCGUCUCUUCGUCCGGAUAAGACAGAGUACUCGGUCUCUUUUUUCGUUCCAGAGGCGGUCGCUCCACAUAGCCGGAGCAUCAUUAGCCUCGCAUUGUACUCGCAACACGCAUACCUACUCGAGGUAAGAGUUACCGCGACACCCGCUGCGCCACGGAGAUCUGCGAUAGAGUUAAUGAUGCUGGGACCGCGGCGAUUUAACAAUAAGCCGCAUUAUUUACAGUCGGCUCUCGGCUCCAUUACCACCGGUUCUGUGUCCGACUCACCUGGUCCUCCCUUCUUUCGCCCUCCCUUUAUCCUCCCCCCCUCCCGUCGGCGGCGGCGGCGGCGGCUCGCGUUACCUCGCCGCAAAUGCGCCCGAUAUUAAAUCUUUGCAAUCAGUCGGCACCUACGCCUUCUCCUCCGUGCGUAUUUACGCUUCGAUUCGAGGGAACGAGAUGGCCAUUCGAAUAAAUCGAACGUUGUGACAAUUGUGAAUCCGAAUUGUAAAUUAUCUCUCGAAGAGGACGACUCCUUCGAUUCGUUAAACUGUCGGCGAUAAUUGCUGGGCGGAGUUUCGUCGGCGGCAACGCUUUUAGGAAGGAUUUCAAGUAGCGAAACGGGGCGUGAAUCUUGUUAUUUUAGAUUCGUCCCUUCCGCUUGAAAGGAGGAGGGGAAGGAAAUGUCCUACGAAAAUGAAAAGAUACGUUGGCAAAUGAACUUUUAACCGGAUAAACGCGCAAGAAGAUAUACGUAUAUGUAUGUAAAUUCGUGGUACACGCCAAGUUAAUAAGAGCAACAACGCGAUAAUAACUGUUGGGGUUUCGAGUGGAGCAAGGUUUAAUUUUGGGUAAAGCUUGAUAGUCGCCGAGGGAGGUUGCUCGUUACACCUUGGGCAAACCGUGGUGGCUAAAACGGUACACGCGACAACACGCUUGGGAAAUACCGUGGCCGAGUUUCGAUCUUAAGGAUUUCUCGAUUUCAUCCACCAUUUAUUCGUUCUUCAACCCUCUUCGUAUUACUCCUCUUUCGUCCAAUCUUCCUCUCUCGCUCGAGCGGUCGUGACGUUUCGAGGAAAGAAAGAAAGAAUGAAAGAAAGAAAGAUGGUCGGAACGCGGCGUAUAAAUUUUUUUCUCCCCCCCCGAUGGCAGGAUAGAAACGAAGCCGGUGAACGCUCAACAGCUGUUUCUGAUAAAAAGCACGCGGUGUUACGGUGUCAGGAACAGCGAACCAUUCCUAACCGGAUCUAAACUUGUCCGUUAGCAUUGGCAUUUAAGACGAAUCCAUUCGAAGCAACGUGGAAAACUAUGCCGUAAAUUUCGAUUAAUUGCCAACAGGUUCUGGUCGAGAAGAAGGAAAAGAAAAAAAAAAGGAAAAAAGACGAUUAAAAACGACUCGACGACAACUCGUAAGAAGAUCGAAACUCGACGAUGACCAAACGGGGAGAAGAUCUGGAUACAUCUCGUUGGAACGAUGAUAAAUGUCAGCCAGGAUGCCGAAUAAGCGAACCAGGGACGAAGAUCUAGCGCUAACUAUAUUCACCUUGUCAAGUCAUUCCGACUUGGUAAACACACCACGACAAGUAAUGCCUAAGAUUUUACGGUGACUCGACUUACGACAGAAGCGGCUGUUUAUCACGGUGUCAGAGUGACGCUCGUGCCGUUCAAGACGAUAAAACGAAUGAGCUAUGCGAGGAACACUCUGAGAAAUGGUGUGCCGCUUUCGAGGACCUUUUGUUGCGACACUGAUUUUAAAUUAGAAUUUAUAGGGUGCCUGAAAACGUUUCGACGAGGCCACUGUAUUUACUCGAAGAAUACGUUUAUCCCGAUAAUCUUUUCCUCUCUCUCUCUCUCUCUCUCCUCCUCCUCGUUUUCGUCAACCGAUAUAAACCUGUCCACCGUGAAAAUUGUCACUGCAUCGAACGAAAUAAACUAGUAACGUAAUCGUUACCACUUUCGAUACGGCGACUCUUUAUUCGAAUUUUUAUUUGUUUCUCGAAAAUUUCCAAAAUUUCCUUUCCCUCCUCUCGAAAUAUCGAGUGGGACGGGAUCCGUGAUUUAUUUUCGUCGCACGGAUAUCGAAUCGAAACAACUGGCAACCGUUUGGCAGCGAUUUAGAGCGUGAAAAUUUCAAUCAUGUUACACAUUAGGGGCAUUCCAAUCAUCCGGAUCAGUCGUCGACGCGUUUUAAGCCGCGCAUCAAUCUGUUCGGUUCGAUCGAGGUGCGUCGCGAUGAAAAGACGAAUGCUUACGCGGAUAGGUGCUCUGGCCGCGCGCCAAUGCUGUGCCACCGCUGCGUUUAUUCCGGCCAACUGGUUCGUGCAACGCAUCCUUACCCUCUCCGCCUUUUAUUCCCCAACUGUUUCACCUUUAUUCGCAGCUUAUUCGUGUAUUAAACCUCCGAGAUCGAUGAAACUCCGUUUCGUUUCGUUUCCUUGUCGAAUAAAAUUAAUCAAUUAUUCGUUCUUUAAAGUAGAGAGGAAGGGAUAAAAAUAAAUCGUAUCCCGAAACGUAUUUAUAUAUUUCGAAACAACGUUUCGAAGCGUUUGAAAAUUAUCCAUUUGUUAUUACGUUACGCGCGCGAUUAUGAUGAAAUAUAAGAUGCAAUUUGUGGGACGCAUUAAUGCAAAUGACCCAAAUAUGACAGUUAACUGUUUAUAGGUCGCGAUAAAUAAUGGGCAUUUGUUAACGUGACAACGCGAACAUUAUAUGCAAGGAUCGAUGUACGGUUAGCUUAGCGUUCAUUUCUCUCCAUUAAUCACAUUCAUGAAAUCCAAGUGUGCCUAUGUAAUGGCCUAUUAAUAGGAUAUAAUGGCCAUUACGUUCGCUGACAUGCCACUUAUUGUCGGCGACUGAGUAAUGCGUUAAACGUGGGAUCAUACCCGACCAAAGUGUCACUUUUAUACAUUAGCCGAUAAAAAAUAUAUUUUAUAAAAACGACGAUACGUUGGACACGUGUUACAAAAUGUGUAUUCGAUCGAAAACACGUUCUUCUUCUAUCGUUCUUUAUCAUCGGCAUCGUUUUAAAAAUUAAACGAAAAUUGGCAAAGUUUCGAGAUUACUACAUCUUCUUUCCGUUUUAUUCCGCGGAUAGAGAAAUAUCCAUCCGUGGAUUAAAAGGAAAAAAAUCGAAAAAUCUCCGUUCGAUUUCGUUGGACAAACGAUCCAAGUCGUUUCGAUAGUUUUUUUUAUCCUUAUCACGCCACCACCACGCCACGUUUUCUCUUCGCGGCGUCGAGAAAUAUAACUCGAGCCAAGAAAGUGCAAACGAUAGAAGUCCUCACGCAGUAUCGAGAUCGCGAUAAAUUUUUCCGGGCGGUGGACGAGGGUGGCGGGCGUAUCUUCUUUCAGAAAAUUGUACGGCCGCUCGUAAAGAUAAGUACUUAAUUCCCUGUUUUGCCGGAAAUUGUUUUUCUCCGCAAAGGAGUCCAUUUCGCUUUAUGAAUCGCUCAGCCGACUUUACGCGACGAGUAAAAGCUUAACACCACCGCGAAAAGCUGUUCUCUCUCUCUCUUUACCCUCGGCUUUCCACCACCUGGUAUUCAAACUCGACGACUAUAUUUCCCCUCCUCCUCCUCCUCCUCCUCCUCUAUCUUUAUCCUUGCCUCUUUUUCUUCCUUUCCUUUCCUUUCUUUCUUUUUUUUUUUAUUACUAUUUUUCACGCUUCUUUAUAGAUUAUCAAGUUGUAUAAUCGCCUUCUCUAAUUAUUAUCUUUUGUAUUACAGCUAUCGUAAACUUGAAAUAACGUUACCCGUCAAACCGCUCCAAGCAAUCAUCGUAAAUUACAAAUAGCUGUAUUAUGCUUUCGUUGAUCGCGCACGGUUCUAAGAAACAUUUAGUAUCGUAUAUCACGUGGAACGAUGGUAGGUAGGUAGAUAGGUAGGUAGGUAGAUAGGUAGGUAGGUAGGUAGGUAGGUAGGUAGGUGAAAGUGAAGUCGAGGAACGUAUCCUUCUUCUUUCACCGACUAUAUCUUAAUAAUAUUUAUAAAAGCUCGAGAGAAGAAUAUUCGACUUUGGUGUAUCGUUGUAUUAUUACGACGUUGUACGGCGCGAGAAACGAAAGUAUAAUGGAAAAUUGAUCCGCUUUUCUCGAUUCUCGUCCUCCUACGGAUAAUAAUAAGAACGAUUGUUGGCAAGAAUCGAUGAAAGAAGAAAAGAAAGAAAGAAGAAAAAUGUCGGUUUCUUACUUGUUAAUGAGAAUACCGUGGAGUCCGGCAAGAAAAGGUGGAGAAUAUUUCUACGCACACAGGUUAUUUCCCGCAAGGUUUUGAAAUGCUUCCCCGUAAAACCGGCAAUCAGUCAGUGACUAAUGCUACAAGACUACGGUAGAAAGGCUUCGGUUCUUUGACGCGAGUACGCAUAGAAAUAAAGUGUCGAUGGAAACGAUGCUUGGCGUUGCACCGAGACAUUAAUAGCCUUUAGACACGGAGUAUUUUAUUGCCGGUAACCUUUCAGUACGUGCAAUCCACCAGUUCUGCAGCGUUGGCAACCGUUACCGUCCGAAGGUUCCACAGUUCCUUACAGGCAAAACGUCGGACGAUGCAUACUUAAUGAGCGACUCAAUACCAUGCUUUCUUAAUGCAUGUCGAUUCGAGUAAUUAAUUAUUAUGCCUGACACACGUGAAAUAAGUGUUUGACGUCGGUAUAAAAUUCAUCUAAAUCACUCACGAUUGAUUUCUACGAGUCACGCAUUACCAAUGAUACUACGUCAUUUUAGAUUUACACCACUCUCGGUGUAUAUCGAAAAUUAAAUGUUUACUCGAUUAUUACGCCGUACGCCACUUUUCCUUCGUAUAUAUUAUCCAUCUCGUUAAAUCACUCGGAAUAUCCAUCUAUUACCCAGCGAUGAAAUCUUCGUAAUUGGGCAUAGCAUACAUGCCUGCUUUUCUCUCUUUCUUUUUUUUCCACAAACCUAUUUUUCCUCUUCCUCCUUGUUCUUUUUUUUUUUUUUUUUCGAAUCGACGAUCUCCUCCCUGAAUCUAGCGUGGACCGCUAGAUGUGUCGAAUGGAAAAUCCAAAGAUUCCUCGUACGUUUCGUUCGAGCUUCGAUCAAACGAAGAGGUAUCCCCGGUAAUUGGACGUUAACGAAUAAAGAUAAUACGUGUAAUAAUAUAUACGAUACGCGCGCGGUUAAUUUUUAAUUAAAACCAGCCUUUGCAUCUCGUUAAUUUAUAUAUAUAUAUACACACGUUUAUUAUCGUUUUCUCAUCGUUCGUAUUCCACGUGACUGGUAUCGUCUUAUAUCGUACACGCUCUAUUAAUUUCUUAAAGGACGGUAAGAUAGUUUGUCUCGUAUUACACGAUUCGUAAUGAUAUACCCGCUUGUCCGAUACGUGUUAAAAGCGGUAAUUCAUUUUCACCGUGGUCUUUUUCUCUCGAAAAUCUUCAUCAAGCACGCCAACUUUCUCGUAUAUAUAAAGUAUAUAUAAAGAAAAUACGGAUAAAUAGAUCAUCGUGCAUUUACGCUGCCACUCGUGACAGGAAUUAUGAAUAAAUUUCGAAAUAACCUGUUAUUAACAUCUAUUAAUCAUCGGCUUCCGUGACGUUGACGUUCGUUCCUACCAACAUAAUUGCACCACCGAUGUGUUUAACCGAAAGAUAAAGAUCGAGAGAUAUUACGUAACGCGCUUCGUUAUUUCUUUAUACACCUCGAUCCUCCCCCCUUUUUACUUACUUCGAACGAAACGUGGAAACGCGUCUCGGACAUUUCUUUCUCGAAACAACGAUACGAUACGCCUGUCGCUGUGGAAAACACGCGACAAUUUAUUCGCAAGUGGAAUAAUAUACGCGUUUCACGCGUAAUCACACGCGUGAAGUUAGCUAAACUCCGACUAAUCUAGGAUCGUACGAGUUGGUAAACGAUUGUAUAUAAUACGAUUCGAUCGACGAAAUUUGUACAAUUGAAGAAUUUUCGAUAUGGAUAAAUAGUUAUUUACCUUGCGCGAUAUGUCUCGUGUAUUUAUAGUUGGGAACGUUGACGUAUUACACGCGGCCAUUAAUGGUGAAAAUGUCACAAAGAGAUUUAUCGAACGUUAUUUACCAUUAUUGUUGUGGAUAUAGUUGUCGCGGUGGACGGAUAGCGUGGAUGGUAUCGCGAGGAAAAACUCGUGGCUCCAUCACUCAUUUCGCGCUACGCGUCAUACGUGUUACAAAAUCCUUCGUAAACAUUUAUCCCCGGUGAUGGUUUUUCCGAUGUUGGACGGAGUUUUCGUUCAGAAGUAAAGAGGGAGAAAGAAAGAAAGAGAGGAAGAAGAAUGGAGCAUUCGAAUGAUCGAAAAGAAAAGGAGAGAGAGAGAGAGAGAGAGAGAUGGAAGAGGAAAAAGCGGUGCAGACGGAAGCAGAGGUUCGGCGGCGCGCGAUAAAUUAAUGGGCGGUCGUCAUUGCGCUCAUACACGGCUCGUACAGGCAUGCGGACACAUCGUAACGCAUCGUUUGUCUUCUCAUUAUAAAUGUGAGCCACCGCUCUACCGCACCGGUGACAGUCGGCCGAAAUAAAUUGCCACGCGUUACGUUUGUACUUUCGUUUUAUAUUUAAAACGACUACACAGGGGAAGGCUCGUGCGGUCCCACCGCCUCCAGACAAAUUGCCCAUUUGCAUAAUGCCGUUAUUUAUUAAUGAUCGCGAUACAGCCACUUCCGAUCCUACAUAAAUACCCACCUGCGGCGUCGGCCAAUCGACACAACCUUCUAAUUCGACGCCCGCUCCACAAAUUUAUAUUACCGAUUCGUUCCUCCUAUUAUUUCCACCUUUGAAACGCGCAUCCUUUCCAACUCACGAUCCCUUUCUCGUUCUCGACACCGAUUAAUAAACAACAAUAUUCGCGAGGAUGAGAAGAAAUAUUUCGUAUCGAAUGAAACGCGUGAUCGAAAGGAACAAAGUUUUGCUUAGCAAUAGAACGCAUUAUUUUCUAUGUAAAACGGAUCAAUGAAAUAAUAAAUCGAAGAAGAAGAAGAAGAAGACGAAUGGAAAAGCGCGCACGAAUAAUUUCGAAAGUUUUUUUCCUUUUGCGAAUUUUUCUUCGUUCCUCAUCGAGGAUUUAUGUCGACGAGUUUCACGUACAACGGGUUUUCGUACGAAUAUCGUAGCCUGUGUCAGCUUCCUGGUUACGCGAAUUAUAUAUAUCGAUAACAGAACGAGCAUCUGGACACGUGGAAAAAGAAGAUCGAAGGCAUAAACGCGAAAAACCUGUUCGUUAAAUGUAACGCAUCGCGUGUCGUUCGAGGAGAUCGGGCAGAAGAAAUAUGAAAUGGGACGAGUAUUUAUGGCGAAGAAAGAGAGAGAAGAAAGAGAGAGAGAGAGCGUUGCAAAAAAGGUGUACGGGUACGCGAUGGUUGAUAUAAUGGGUAAACGAAAGGAGAAUGGCGAAGGGAAAGAAAAGGCGAAAUGUAAAAUAUCGAGGAAGGAGUGGAGUGUACGUACGAGUGUCGGAGUUUGCGCGACUUGGUGGCGUAACCAAGAUAUACGACCGUUUUCCCCCAAAAAAGUGUUAAGGAAUUAUGCUUCGCGGAGUAAAUGAGAUGUGUCUGCGCCGGGACAUAGAUCACGGCCGCGCUAUCCGUUCUCACCACCGUGGAAAUAAAUACGAUUUUCUCGACGGCGAAAGAGACUAGGGUUUGGAAAGGAGGAGGAAAGGAGGUGGUGGCAGUUGGAACGGAGCAAGCGGAUGGAGCGAGAGGAUGGCACGAGUCGGAAGGGGAUAGGAGAAUAGGUCUCCUAGCGGGCCGCAUCCCGCGCCACAUCUUUCUACCCGACACACGAGGGAUCCAACGUAGCCAUUUCUCUGCCCCGUUAUACGCCUCCUAUAUACGUAUCUACUACCCCCCCAACACCUACCUACACCCGGCAAAUAAAUUGAUCCAUUACUCAACCGAGCAGUCAUCUUCCUUCCUUUCCCUCCCUUCGCUCUUCUCUCGCCGCCGUCGCCGCCGUCGUCGCCACUACCACCAUCACCACUACUACCGCCACCACCACCGCCCUUUUUCCUUCGCGCUUUUCCGGGAAUGCUGCCAGAGAUUCGGCAAAGCCCCUUUCACGCCCUGUUGCAGAGACGAUGAUACGCCGCGAUUUACUCACCCGAGUCCGUCUCUUCUCACCCACGGAACCGGGAAACCGGGAAAUUGAUGCCACUUCCAAAGGAUUCACCGCCGUCUUAUGCCAAUUUAUUCCGUAUCAUCUCGAUUUCACCUAUAUUCGAAUUAAUCUUUCCUUCCACCGGGAUCUCUCUCUUAAAAUUGUGAUCAAUUUGUCGCAAAAAGUUGCAUCGACUUCACCCUUUUGCUCUAAGAUGUGACGAUCCUGUUAAACAGUUGAGAGUGGAUUCGCGGAAAAUGAAUUUUGCUGAUUCGAAUUAAGAAAGUAAUGGAUCGAGAUCGCGUCUCGGUCGGUAACUAAUGUAUCCGUCGAUGUCCUCCUCGGCCACGUUUCAUUAUCCGGGCUUAGUUUUCUGUUGCUCGCAAUCAACAUCCGGAUCAUGUUUUAACGACUAUUUCGCGUGUGUAAAUUGGUAUAUAAUUCAGUCUCGCUACAUGAUUUUCCUUGUGCUGAUGAAAUGACUUACCGCUUUCAUUGUUACAUACGUCCAUCCGCGUUGGUUAAUUAAACAAGAGAUUAAUUAACGCGCUUCGAAUUUCCUGUUUUAUACAAUUGCUAAUUUGUAAAAUAUCAAACCGCGACUCGUUAUCUCGGUGGAACCGAGAGAGAUGCUUUCAAGCUUCGUUGCUCGAAAUAAAGUAUCAAACUUUUUUAACUCCGGGGUAUACCUGAUACCUUUUAAAUAAUACUCGCCCGAUGAUUUACGGAUUCUCUUACGGAUAUAUUUUAAUCUUAAUUAUCGUUUCGCACAAUUUCGAACACACCGAACACGAAUUCUCUCGAUAUUUCUUAUUAUCUCGCGUUUCUCUCGAAAAAAGGAGGGAGAGAGAGAGAGAGAGAGAGAGAGAGGAAAAAAAGAAGCAUAAACAUCAUACGCGUCAAUUUGCAUAUUUAAACGUCGAAUAAAUUUAAAUAAUCGGCCUCUUUGGAAAACCAAUUAUCGUUAUUUCUUUUUUUUCUCUCUCCCUCUCUCUCUCUUUUUUUUUAUUUUUCGCGUUAAUAUCACGAUCCCGCGUUAUUUAUUGUGCACGUAUAUAUCCACGGAUUGGAAUAAUUUAACAGGGAAUAGAAAGCAAAUGGAUGGAAUAAUAAUUUUUUUCCCCGAUUCGCGCGUAAAAUUAUUAUCCUCCCCCCCCCCCCCUCUCUCUUUCCCUAUUCUUUUUUAUCGAACGACCACUAUCGAACGAUUAAACCUGUAGCUGUUUGCAUAUCCGGUUUAUGUUUCAAUCUGGUUCCAUCAAUAUGAAUAAACACCGGCAUGUGAGGUAGCUCGGCGCUGCAUUAAUAUGUAUUGGCAAUAAAUCGAUAUCGAUAAUUAAAAUCUGUGCCUGCCAUAAGGCCUUUGGACGUGAGCGCGUUUAUAUAAAAGUUCAAUUUGUUAUAUGUAACUGCGCGAGAGAUGACUAUAAAUAUUGCGUUACCCUUUUUAACCGGGGCUCGUAAAUCCCCGUGAUUUAUAUCCCCCCCCCCCUCCCCUCCCUCCCGUUGACUGUCCGUAAAGCGUGUGAAGGGGUCGAGGUUUUACGUAUCGUUGCACGUAUCGUCCCACGAUUUUCAUAUUUCUUCCCGCCAGAGACAAAAGCCAGUUUUCGUUUUCCGUUUAAUUUACGCGAUCGAUGAUAACGCGCGAACGUCAACGCGCAUUUACACACCGCGAGAUAAAUACCGCGAGAAACGUGAUCAUCACCGUCCAAUUAAUCCCGUACGUAUAUAUAAUUCCAAGAUCGAAAAUGGAUUCGCGCCGACCCAAGUUUAAAUCUGUCACGAAUCGAAACUUUUCAAUUUCCCUCUCCGUCUCUCUUUUAUUUAGGAAUAUCGAGCUGAUAAUUAAGGAUAAUUAAGGUAAAGGAGAAAUGAAUUCUUCGCAGGAUGGAUACGGAUAUUGGAUAUCGUGGGUGGGGCGAAAAAAUAUUUUCGCAGGCAGAUGCGUUGUAACGGGGCCAACGAGUUUGAACAUCAGUCACGAAAAAGAGAGAUUAAAAAAAGGAGGUAGGAGAGAAGACGAAAAAAGUCCGGGAGAUGGGUUGUCCGAAUGAGUGGGUUGAGCGAGUGAAUGACAGAUAGACAGCAACCAGACAGGAGACUGACAGUACGGCGGCGGGCUGACAGCUUGCCACUCUGCCGGCCGUUCGCAACAUCCAGUAUUACCGACUACCGUACGUGUUGAUCCUUGUCCCAUUCAUCGACAAAAAGCGAACCAACCCCCGAUUUCGUCCCAUCUCCCUCUCUCUUUCUCUCUCUCUCUCUCCAGGAUCGAUGAUCAUUUUUCAGGGAACAACCAUCGCCAACACCAGCUCGCUCCAGUUUUGUUAUUAAUAAUAUCUAUCUCUAUCUCUAUCCAUUUCCAUUUACGAGUAUUUUUUCUAUUUCCAUCGUACGAUCGCUCGAAACAAAUAUCGUCUCCUUGAGGAUUGAAACGAAAAGGAAUCGGAAAGUCGGUAUUAAAAGAUAUUAAUCUGGAGCUCGCGUAAAAUGAAUUACAGGAUUCGUUAGGGAGGCGUUAUCGUUGAAUAGGAGCGGCAGUUCCAAGAAAGUACGAAUUACUGUCAAAAGUAAACCAAAGUAGGGUAUACUUAUGACUACAAAUUAAGUAUAAUUCCGACGGUCGUAAUAACGUAACAACGGGCCGCUACGUAAUUAUUCGGCGUAAUCGGCAACAGCCCGGAGCGGUGUACUUUAACUACCUUUUAAAAUUGCGCUUAAAUUACAGUACAUACGAUAUUUGAGGAAUAUCAUUCACGUGCACGCCGCUAAAUAUAUUUUCACGUACGGAGGAAGGUGUUUGGGAUAUCGCGUUGAAAACACCGCGUGUGCACGUUUCGUUCGAGAUAAAUUAAAUGAAUCGCUGUGUAAAAAAAGAAUUUGCCGUAUUUUCAACAUAUUGCGUACGUUCCUCCUGUAUAUUUACCGUCCUUAUCCUUAGAUAAUCCAUCUAUUCACCUUUCUUUUUUCAACCGAACGUGUAAAUAAAUCUUACCGAGAGAUAUCCAUCGUCGAGAGAGAGAGAGAGAGAGAGAGUUUGUAAGCGAAGGAGGGAAAAGGAGGAAAAAGUAGUUGGACGAAUUCACGACGGAAGUUCUCGCGAUGAUGCGAGUGAGAAUAAUUAAUCAACGUUCGCUAGAAACGUACGUAUAUAAUUACGUUGGAGGAGAGGAGGGGGGGGGGGGCAAAACGUCGCAACCGAUUUAAUCGGUUACUCGCGAUCACGCUUGUUAGAGUUUACGAGGAAACGGAAGUACAAAAAACUCGCAAAUUAUGAAGAUAAACAUGCAGCCCGUACGUAAAAAAGAUUAUUAUCUCCUUUUCCACUCUUGCGUCUUGCUUUUCGUUAAAACUUGAUUUAUACUUUCUUUCGAAUAUGAGAUGCGAGAUUACCAUUAGAUAUCGUAAUUAUUGCUGAAUUAUUUUCCGCUUUACGUGUCAAUUAUAAUAACACGAUAUUUAUUCUUUCGAUUAAAUAUUUACGCCAGUUUGAAACUUAACGCGCUCGUUAAAAAAUAAAAAAAGAAAAGAAAAAUAAUAAUAACAACAACAACGUUUGUUUAACGUUAAUUAAAAGAAAGAGAGAGAGAGAGAAAAGAGAAGAAACGUUUAAUUUUCGAGGUCACGCGAGUUUCGUUACGGCUACAAAUCAUUCAACGCGUUAUUAUUCCUUGUUUCGUUAUUAUUCGCUAUAUUUUAACGAACGCGUUAUAUAUUCCCGAAAUAUACCUUUCUUUCGUCCCCACUUUUUUCUCUGCAACUUGGAUUUAUAACAAAUUUACAAAAUACACGAAUACAAGAAGAUUCGACUGCAGAUUUAUCAUUUCGCACAAACCGAUGACGUUAUAAUUGGAAAGGAAGAAAGCGAAGCGUUGCGAAACGACGACGACGACGGACGAGUCGAAGCUCGAAAAGCGGAGGAAACGAGAAUGGAAAGGAAACGGGGAAAUAAACGCAGGAGCUUAGAGGGAGGCGGCGAAGGAGAGGCGAAGCGGGCGCCGCGCGUCUCCCCCUUUUCCUCGCCGUGGCGUGCACACACACACACACACACACACACACACACACACACGUCUCUUCUCUUCUCUUCUCUCCUCCGCUCGCUAGGCAGGUGAGCAGCUCUCCGUUGGCUGUUCGUGGUGCGGGUUACCAUUAUGUCUACAACCUUGAAUUAAAAUGCCGUAUAAUGACACAGCUAGGCAGCCUGUAUAAUUUAUGUCCAUAAAAAUAAAAUCAUAAUUACAGAGGCGCGGACUGCGAAAAGACGGUAAUAAUAUGGCUGGCCGGUGUGCUCGUUGCGUGCUCAGCGCGUGUAUAUCGCGUUCGUUCCUUCGUUCCUCGAUGCUUCUCGCUCUCGUUAUUGUUACCGUUCCCGUUAUUCCGCUCCGUGUCGCAAUGCGUUUUGCGUUUUCGCGCACAGAUGCGAUAACAGGAUCGAUUAGAUGGGGAAAAAUGGGAUGUCGUUACGCGUGUCUGUCGCGAUAUCUGCGAACGCGUGAGAAAGAUAAGAAAGAAAGACAGGAGAAAAGAAGAAAAAGAUGAAUAUGUAUAUAUAUAUAUAUCGAGCGGAGGAGAGGAAAAUUAAUAAACGCGGAGGGGAAAAAUUAAUGGCGGCGAAAACUUGGGUUCGACGACAUUAAUCUUACGUGGCAAAGUGGGAAGGACGGUUGGGCUUUUCCAACUACGCGGCCAGAAAGAAAUCGUUUCAGCUCCGUUUCUCACCGUCCGCUCGUAGCGCGAAUCGUCAUGAGACUCUGAAACGCGAACGGAAAGGCGAUGCGAGAUCGCGUUGAUGAAUGCCCCCAUUACACGAACACCGCUAGUUACUCCUCGGAGAUAAACCGCCUUCAUUACUCACUUUCUGGCGUGACCUUAUUCCCCCCUACGGCCUCUCUCUCUCUCUCUCUCUCUCUCUCCUCCCUCUCCUACCUCCCUCCCUCCCUCCCUCCCCUCUACCCGCCUUCUUUCCAACGCUCGCUCUCCAUCCUUGCCUCUCUCACGGCUAUUAAGUUAACGCGAAUUAAUAACGCAGGCUUUUUCUAGUCAACAGCCGUUUUCUUGCGCCGAUAUACAGGUAUUUUAGCGGAUAAUAAAUUUUCACCUCGGGGGAAUAUAUAUAAUCCCCGCGAUGCGAAAGCGCAAGCAUCAAGGGAUGGCGCACUACUACCACUCUUAACAGAUUGGAUCGUUUGUCUUUCCUUUCGGGUCUUGCCCCGAACAACUGCGUUACGUUAUAGAUACGUAUAUUAAUGCGACGAUGCAAUUAUCAGUGGGUAGGUAGACACGACCUACUUUGUCUUUUUUUUUUACCGUUCGUUACACGGCUACGCGAUCAUUUUUCAACUUCUGAUUUACGGCUUGAUUAUCGAGAAGCGGAAAGUUUAUCGGUAUUCGUUAACGAGAGAGGUAAGCCGAUAAAUUUCCAAACGAUCGCCGAACGGCAAAACCGCUUUGCGACUUUCUUGCAGGAUCGAAACUGUACGAGUGUUCUUCUAACUUCUAACUUUUGUUUUUGAAAUCGCGCUUUAUUUUUCGAAUUUUAUUCUUACUUUUCUCUCUCUUUCUUUCUCCUCUUUGCUAAAAUAAUUAAUCACGAAGCUAGGAAGGGUAUCUCUGUUUUCCUUUCACGAUCAUCUUAUGUUCAGAGGAAACGAAAUUGUACCAAGUUUACGAAAUUUAUUCGUUUCGCAUUCUAAAUUCGCGCGCAUUUGUCAAUAUCGUUCAAAUAAAUAUCGGGCAAUUACGCUUAAUGGGUCACGAUACGAGUUUAAUGAAACCAGUACACGCUUAAUUGGAUAUUAAAUUAACGACCACGACGUGUGAAUCAAACAAAACACUGUAAAUCCGGUUAAAAGAGAAAUGAUAAUUUAUGUCUCGCUAGUGUAUUUUUGCGAUAAAUUAAUAUAUAUAUAUAUAUAUAUAUAUUUUUUUUAAUACCUCAUCGAUGCUUGCACUUUGAGAUAAUUCAUAGAUUAUUUACGAGCGAGCCUUUUCUUUUCAAAAAAGAAAAAGGAAACAGGAAGGGAAGAAAUUGGUAUUUAUCGAUACAUCUCGUAUAAACAAGAGUACCGAUAUAAUUAUACGAUAUAAUUACAAGGUUCCCGAAGAAAAAUUGUAUCCAUUUUCUUCUCCUCGUUUUAUUUUACAUCGAUACGUAUUAAUUACGUCGUUUAGCAUUUAACGUUUUCGAGUUUAGCCGUUCACAAAGAUCGUUCGCGCCUUUUCCCUUAUGAAUAUUUAUUCCCAUGAAUUUUCAUAAUUAUCGCUGGCGAUAAUUUAAUAAUAACGGCCAAUUAAUUACGAUCAGACCGUAGCAAUAUAAUCGGAUCAAGAUCUGUAUCCGCGAGGCAUAAAAUACACAUAUAUAUACAAUUUCGAUAUAUAUUUUCGAAAAACUCUCGCUCUUCCUUAAUAUCCUUUUCCCCGUUAUAAGGAGAGAGAAAGAGAAAGAGAGAGGGAAGGAUUUGGAAUCGCGAUAACGAAGAUAAAAUCGCGGGUAACGCGCGUGCGCGUCGCGUCUACCACGGAAUAUGCAAGAAUAUUUAACACGGGAGGGGGAUAGGGUAGGGAAUGGGAUGGCCGCAGAAAGAAUAUUUAACACGGCGCGGCGUGGCGCGACGUCGCGCAUACCCGUCCAUCUUCAUACGUCGUAGGUUACACGGUUACAUUAGUAGGAAUGUCACGAUAACGAACGCCGGUACACCGUCAGCGGUGGAGACGUCUUCCUGUUUCUGGGGGAGUGGGGCGGCGCGGGCGCUGCGUGGCGCGAAUCCCCGAGCCACGUCGGCCUUCUUUCGCCCUACGCCACUGCCUGUAUCCGAUAUUCCAGCCACGACCGCGAAAAACAAAACGCGCAGGGGAAUACGUUCCCCGCAUAUGCGUCUCGCGUGUUUCGCUCGCUGGAUUCAUUUUGGCCGGGACAUUCCGCUGUCACCGCGACGUUAUCGACCAUCGGUAAAACGUUUCGCCCGAUCGAUAAACCAUGAAUCCGCAAUUUACGGGAAACGCGAGCGAUUCGUUUGCGCACCCGCACCUUUUUUUUUUUCCCCCUUUUGUUCCGAUCGACGUGCAUAUUUUCCUCUCGUCUAAAAUAUAUGAAAAAAUAUUUCAGUACAGGCAGCGUAGCAAUGGAGAAGAAAAGACGAAUACGAGAUAUAUACGGAUACAGUAUUCGAUUCUCGUUCGACGCCAAUGCGGAAAGAGAGAGAGAGAGAGAGAGAGGGCAGGAGUAGAGUCGAAAUGGAAUAAACUAACCGUCGUUUUCCUGACGACAGGCGAUACGUCACUGUGACCAAUUCACAAUAGAGCAUUACACCCCGAGACCGGGACGACAAUAGUUAUCUCCGGGAUGUACGAACGUGUAGGUGGUUAUUAUUCGCACGCGCACACGUGUCACCGGAGCGACGGCGACAAGUAGCGGCAUUGGCGCUGCUUGAAACGCGAGUUUCGAGUAGCCGUUGCGGAAGCACCUCGACACACCGAGCUUCGCUCAAUUACCGUCCCACUUAAUGCACUCGCGCGGUGAUUCACCGCGUGCCACCCUCUCCUCCCUUCCCUCUUCGUCUUCCGUUCCGAAACCGGGUAAUUUUUCAUAUUCGCGUCUCUUUCACCUCUUCCUUAAUUCCAAUUAGACUCGUUGCUAAUUACCGCUCCGAUUACCAUCAUCGCCGAUGUAUAAA